UACGAAGGGGGCUAGCGUUGCUCGGAAUCACUGGGCGUAAAGCGCACGUAGGCGGAUCUUUAAGUCAGGGGUGAAAUCCUGGAGCUCAACUCCAGAACUGCCUUUGAUACUGAGGAUCUUGAGUCCGGGAGAGGUUAGUGGAACUCCGAGUGUAGAGGUGAAAUUCGUAGAUAUUCGGAAGAACACCAGUGGCGAAGGCGGCUCACUGGCCCGGUACUGACGCUGAGGUGCGAAAGCGUGGGGAGCAAACAGG
rnacentral:rRNA from 1 species